UACCCCGGCACCUUCCACCCCGGCGAAGGCCGGGGUCAGCAUCGGACCGGUCGUGACUGGACCCCGGCCUUCGCCGCGGUGGAUCGUAUUUUGCGC
rnacentral:pre_miRNA from 1 species